GUUAAACUUUGGCAUCACAUGUCCUAAAAUUACAAUGAUAUAGAGAAGAUUAACUUGCCCAUGUGCAAGGAUGGCACAUAAUUAAUCCUUUUUAUUUUAUAUUAUU